rnacentral:rRNA from 1 species
CAGGCCUAACACAUGCAAGUCGAGCGGUAACAGAGAGUAGCUUGCUACUCUGCUGACGAGCGGCGGACGGGUGAGUAAUGCUUGGGAAUGUACCUUAUGGUGGGGGACAACAGUUGGAAACGACUGCUAAUACCGCAUAAUGUCUUCGGACCAAAGCGGGGGACCUUCGGGCCUCGCGCCAUAAGAUCAGCCCAAGUGGGAUUAGCUAGUUGGUGAGGUAAUGGCUCACCAAGGCGACGAUCCCUAGCUGGUUUGAGAGGAUGAUCAGCCACACUGGGACUGAGACACGGCCCAGACUCCUACGGGAGGCAGCAGUGGGGAAUAUUGCACAAUGGGCGCAAGCCUGAUGCAGCCAUGCCGCGUGUGUGAAGAAGGCCUUCGGGUUGUAAAGCACUUUCAGUAAGGAGGAAAGGUUGGAUGUUAAUAGCAUUCAGCUGUGACGUUACUUACAGAAGAAGCACCGGCUAACUCCGUGCCAGCAGCCGCGGUAAUACGGAGGGUGCGAGCGUUAAUCGGAAUUACUGGGCGUAAAGCGUACGCAGGCGGUUUGUUAAGCGAGAUGUGAAAGCCCCGGGCUCAACCUGGGAACUGCAUUUCGAACUGGCAAACUAGAGUGUGAUAGAGGGUGGUAGAAUUUCAGGUGUAGCGG